rnacentral:tRNA from 1 species
CAUCAAAAAUCCUAAAAGGUAACGGUCUCUUAAACCGCCUCAUAGCUAAAAGCUUUUGAUGA